rnacentral:rRNA from 1 species
GACGAACGCUGGCGGCGUGCUUAACACAUGCAAGUCGAACGGAAAGGCCCUGCUUUUGUGGGGUGCUCGAGUGGCGAACGGGUGAGUAACACGUGAGUAACCUGCCCUUGACUUUGGGAUAACUUCAGGAAACUGGGGCUAAUACCGGAUAGGAGCUCCUGCUGCAUGGUGGGGGUUGGAAAGUUUCGGCGGUUGGGGAUGGACUCGCGGCUUAUCAGCUUGUUGGUGGGGUAGUGGCUUACCAAGGCUUUGACGGGUAGCCGGCCUGAGAGGGUGACCGGCCACAUUGGGACUGAGAGACGGCCCAGACUCCUACGGGAGGCAGCAGUGGGGAAUAUUGCACAAUGGGCGGACGCCUGAGGCAGCAACGCCGCGUGCGGGAUGACGGCCUUCGGGUUGUAAACCGCUUUCGCCUGUGACGAAGCGUGAGUGACGGUAAUGGGUAAAGAAGCACCGGCUAACUACGUG